CGCGCCUAACACAUGCAAGUCGAACGAGCAAAGAGGAGCUUGCUUCUCGAGCGAGUGGCGAACGGGUGAGUAACGCGUGAGGAACCUGCCUUAAGAGGGGACAACAGUUGGAAACGACUGACUAAUACCGCAUAAGCCCAACGGUGCCGCAUGGCACAGAGGGAAAAGGAGCAAUCCGCUUUGAGAUGGCCUCGCGUCCGAUUAGCUAGUUGGUGAGGUAACGGCCCACCAAGGCGACGAUCGGUAGCCGGACUGAGAGGUUGAACGGCCACAUUGGGACUGAGACACGGCCCAGACUCCUACGGGAGGCAGCAGUGGGGGAUAUUGCACAAUGGGGGAAACCCUGAUGCAGCGACGCCGCGUGGAGGAAGAAGGUUUUCGGAUUGUAAACUCCUGUCGUUAGGGACGAUAAUGACGGUACCUAACAAGAAAGCACCGGCUAACUACGUG
rnacentral:rRNA from 1 species